AGAAUCAACGCUGGCGGCGUGCCUAACACAUGCAGGUCGAACGAGAAAGUGGAGCAAUCCACGAGUAAAGUGGCGCACGGGUGAGUAACACGUGACUAACCUACCCUUGAGUGGGGGAUAACCUAGGGAAACCUGGGCUAAUACCACAUAAUACCUACGGGUCAAAGGAGCAAUUCGCUUAAGGAGGGGGUCGCGGCCGAUUAGUUAGUUGGUGAGGUAAUGGCUCACCAAGGCGACGAUCCGUAGCUGGUCUGAGAGGACGACCAGCCACACUGGGACUGAGACACGGCCCAGACUCCUACGGGAGGCAGCAGUGAGGAAUUUUCCGCAAUGGGCGAAAGCCUGACGGAGCGACGCCGCGUGCACGAGGAAGGCCUUCGGGUCGUAAAGUGCUGUCGAGGGGGACGAUUAUGACGGUACCCCUGGAGGAAGCCCGGCUAACUACGUGCCAGCAGCCGC
rnacentral:rRNA from 1 species